rnacentral:rRNA from 1 species
GAGCACGUAGGUGGGUUUGUAAGUCAGAUGUGAAAGCCUCCUGUUCAACGGAAGAAUUGCAUCUGAAACUGCGAGUCUUGAGUGUAGGAGGGGAGAAUGGAACUUCUGGUGGAGCGGUGAAAUGCGUAGAUAUCAGAAGGAACUCCGGCGGCGAAAGCGAUUCUCUGGCCUAUUACUGACACUCAGUGUGCGAAAGCUAGGGGAGCAAACGUGAUUAGGUACCCCGGUAGUCCUAGCCGUAAACGAUGGGCACUAAGUAGAGGGGUUUU